AGCAGUAUGGUGUAAGUCUGCAUGCGGGGUUCCUGUAAAUAGUACAUAGCAAAUCGCUAGGCAUGUAACCCCGAGGUCCUUGUUCGAACCAAGGUACUGCUC